GACGAACGCUGGCGGCGUGCUUAACACAUGCAAGUCGAACGGUAAGGCCCUUCGGGGUACACGAGUGGCGAACGGGUGAGUAACACGUGGGUGAUCUGCCCUGCACUUCGGGAUAAGCCUGGGAAACUGGGUCUAAUACCGGAUAGGACCACUGCCUGCAUGGGUGGUGGUGGAAAGCUUUUGCGGUGUGGGAUGGGGCCGCGGCCUAUCAGCUUGUUGGUGGGGUGAGGGCCUACUAAGGCGACGACGGGUAGCCGGCCUGAGAGGGUGACCGCCCACACUGGGACUGAGAUACGGCCCAGACUCCUACGGGAGGCAGCAGUGGGGAAUAUUGCACAAUGGGCGCAAGCCUGAUGCAGCGACGCCGCGUGAGGGAUGACGGCCUUCGGGUUGUAAACCUCUUUCAGCACCGACGAAGCGCAAGUGACGGUAGGUGCAGAAGAAGGACCGGCCAACUACGUGCCAGCCGCCGCAGUAA
rnacentral:rRNA from 1 species